rnacentral:rRNA from 1 species
UGAGUACGAGAUGCUACGGCAUCGAAGCAGUCUAUGUCAUACUUCCAAGAAAAGCUUGCAAUGUCAUAAACAAAUAAUGCCUGUACCAUAACCGACACAGGUGGGUAGGUAGAGUAUACUAAGGGGCGCGAGAUAACUCUCUCUAAGGAACUCGGCAAAAUGACUCCGUAACUUCGGGAGAAGGAGUGCCUUAUUUUUAUAAGGUUGCAAUAACAAGAUCCAAGCAACUGUUUACCAAAAACACAGGUCUCCGCUAAGUCGUAAGACGAUGUAUGGGGGCUGACGCCUGCCCAGUGCCAGAAGGUUAAAGAAGUUGGUUAGCAUUAGCGAAGCUGAUAACUGAAGCCCUGGUGAACGGCGGCCGUAACUAUAACGGUCCUAAGGUAGCGAAAUUCCUUGUCGGGUAAGUUCCGACCCGCACGAAAGGCGUAAUGAUUUGGAUACUGUCUCGGAGAGGGGCUCGGUGAAAUAGACUUGUCUGUGAAGAUGCGGACUACCUGCACCUGGACAGAAAGACCCUAUGAAGCUUUACUGUAACUUGAGAUUGAAAUUGGACUUUAUCUGCGCAGUAUAGGUGGGAGACGUUGAAAAUAUUCUUGCGGGAAUAUUGGAGUCAUCAGUGAGAUACCACUCUUAUAAUGUUAGAUUUCUAACUUUGUAUCAUUAUCUGGUCAAAGAACAGUUUCAGGCGGGCAGUUUGACUGGGGCGGUCGCCUCCCAAACGGUAACGGAGGCGCGCAAAGGUUUCCUCUGAACGUGUAGAAAUCGUAUCUAGAGUGUAAAGGCAUAAGGAAGCUUGACUGUGAGACCUACAAGUCGAGCAGGGACGAAAGUCGGUCUUAGUGAUCUGACGGUGCUGAGUGGAAAGGCCGUCACUCAACGGAUAAAAGUUACUCUAGGAUAACAGGCUGAUCUCCCCCAAGAGUUCACAUCGACGGGGAGGUUUGGCACCUCGAUGUCGGCUCAUCGCAUCCUGGGGCGGUAGUACGUCCCAAGGGUUGGGCUGUUCGCCCAUGAAAGCGGUACGCGAGCUGGGUUCAGAACGUCGUGAGACAGUUCGGUCCAUAUCCGGUGUAGGCGUUAGAAUAUUGAGAGGAGCCUUCUUUAGUACGAGAGGACCGAGAAGGACAUACCUCUGGUGUACCAGUUAUCGUGCCAACGGUAAACGCUGGGUAGCCAUGUAUGGAGAGGAUAACCGCUGAAAGCAUCUAAGUGGGAAGCCCACCUCAAGAUAAGUAUUCCC